CUUGUAUAAAUUAUCAACCAAGAUAUUUCUAUUGUUUUGUGAGAUGAAAUUUGUUUGUUUUAUUUAAGAGAUAAUUUUAGCUAAUGUUAGGUUCAAUCUUAGUUUUGAGUCUACCAAACAAGCUUCUUUAGAAUAAGUUUUCAGUUAGUGGCGAAAUAUAUGACCUUCGUAAGUAUUAUAGUGGAUCACUUUCUAAAUGCUUCUCUAAAUAGUCUUGUCCAAGGGACUUACUACUAAGUCUUAGUGCAACUAGUUCAUAUUAGAUUGGGGUAACUUCAGUUAGUUUCACUAAGACGAUUGCACUAGGUUGAACAUAUAUGAUUCUCCCAGACAUGCUUUCGACUUAGCUUCCCUAACCUACUAUCAUCCCAAUCUUUUUUGGUAAAAAGUUAAAAUUCUUCCUAGUGUUAUUAGUCCUAAAUAUGCAGACAGGAAGGUCAAGUUUUCAAGAUGAUAACUAAUUUACCGCCUCCCUCUAGAACACAUAUUUUAUGUUUUAUAUUUAAGUAAUGAAUGUCAUUUUUAGGUAUAUAUUAUUGUUUUAGUCCUACUUGCUUUGUUAGGCGAGUUUUCAAAAUACAUGCUUUGACAUGUUUCUUAUUUUGGUUAACAAAUGAUAAGUAAGAUUUGUUCAUCGAUUUCGAUUGAUAUCCAAUAUCGAACUUGUUGUACACGACCCUUUGUAAUCCAAGUAUCAUGUCAAGUUUCUUGGAUCCCAAAUUGAACCUUUCCAACAUUCCCUUGAGUCUCUCAACUUCUCCUUUCAAUAUGAAAUUCUCAUCCUCAAGUCUUGUAAUUUGAUUUGGGUUUCCAUUUUAAACUUGGUUAGUUGAGAGUUUAGGAUUAACUUGCUCCUUAGGAUGUUUGACUUCCUUAAGGAGCAAUUCAACUUGUUUCUCAAAUUUAACCUUCUUGGCUUGACUCUGACUCAUACUCAGAUUCAUCAGGUUGGUUUCUUGCCAUUAGUGCUAAGAAGUUCUUUUGUCUUGGUUUGUCCAUCUGUGAUUCCUCCAAUGAUGACUCAUCCCAAGGGGCCUUUAGUGUUUUUCUUCGUCUUGAUUUGGGUUUUUCUUCUUUGAGAUUUGGGCAAUCAUACUUGCAAUGCCCCUUUUUAUUACAUCUGUAACAUGUCACUUUAGAUAUUGAUUUGGUUGGUGUAGAUUGUAUCACUUUUUUGAAAUCAUCCUUUAAAAAUAUUUUUUUCUUCUUGGUAAACAUCUUCCUGACUAUGUUUACUAGUUGUUCUUUGGUUGAGUCAGAGUUGGACUCAUCUUCAGAUUCAUGCUUGAAUCGGGCUUUCAAUUUUAGCUCCUUAGUUGGUCCUGCAACAAGGGCAAUACCUUUUUCGGUUUGACUCGAGUUAGUCUGCUCGUGUAGUUCAAGUUCUCAAAAAGUUCAUCUAAUCAAAUUUUAGAAAGGGCCCUUGAGUUUUUAUAGGCAUCUAUCAUACAUGCCAAUAAGGAGUUUUGAGGGAACGAGUUAAGAGCGUACUUGAUUAUAUCAUGGUUCUCAUGUGGGUGAUCAAUGAGAUGUAGUCCAUUGAGAAUAUCUUUAAUCCUCGUGUGUUGUUGGUUUACCAACUCACCAUCUAACAUUUUAAUAUUUAGUAAGGAAUUUAAUAAAAGAUCACAUUUUGUUGUAAGUAACCCGUGAUGAUUUUGACGUGAUCAACCAAGUGAAGUUAGGUCAUGUGUAUUUGAUCCUUGUGUCUAAAUGUGUAGGAGAAUAGGAUCAUAAGAAGUCAAGAGGAAGUCAAGCGGAAGACAUAGCGGAUAAGAAAGAUGGAAUGAGAAUCGAGUCGAUGGGGUUGGUGUAUCGAGGGACGAUAAGCUACGGAAGAGUACAUCGGUGGAGCAAAAAGGACGUGUGCGACACUUUCGAGGGACGAGAAGAUGGAGUGGAAAACUACUCGAGGAGAAGGCUGGAGUUGGGUUUGGGUGAGCUCAACUCUGGAAGGCCAGAGGAUCACCCAAGAGACUAAAGAAGGAGCUAGCGACCGGAGAAAGUACCAGACAGUCAGCCUGAGGCUGACUAAUUCGGGCGCCUGGACCAUCCAGGCACUCGGACCACCAGGGUGCCUCGUCGUAGUGGAUCACUCUUCUAGCCCACGUAAGCAACGGUCCGGGUGCCUCAACAUGGUCCAAGCGCCCAGACAUGAAAAAUUUCAUCUUUAAGCCGUUGCGAAGCUGUUGUGUGGAGAUAAAGUUUGCCACACUGGGGGAGCUUGGAGAGGGUCCAAACGCCCGAAGUUGCCACGCCAGCAAACAUCUAAUUUCAACCAGUGGGCUAUAAAUCUAGCUCUGGUCUUCUUCAUUCAGAACAACACUCUAUGUAUUCGAGUUUUCCAUUUCUAUUUUGUGCUUUCAAUGUUCUAUACGAGGCUUCUCCACCUUUGACUUGUGGCAAAGAAGGAGUCGAUUAGUUGAGCUUCACUUUCCUUGGAUUAGCAACCUCCCCGGUUGCAAACCAAGUAAAUCCUUUUUGUCUCAUACUUAUUUAUGCAUUUUAGUUUCCUUUAUUAAAAUAUUAUUAUUAACUUAAGUCAAAAGCUUUGAGAAGGAUAUAUUUUUAAUUUCAGGCAAUUCAUCCUCUCUUACUGGCAUCACCGGGACUGAUAAGGUUUAUUAGAGCAAGGAUGCUUCAGAAGGACUAACUGCAUGGCUGGACCAAGCCUCAACCCGCCAAAGUUCGAGGGGGAGGUCACACACUGGAAACACUAAAUAGAGGUAUUUCUAAGAAUAUGCUUCGAAAUUCUGACUAAUAGCAGAGCCAAUAAGAAGAAGAGAAAGAAGAAUACCUUUGGACAAAGGAGCAAAAUGACUUCAUAGCCAAUAGCAGAGCGGAAUUAUAAAAUACCGAAAAUAGGCGAAUAUUAAUAAGGGAAUUUUUCGGAUUUUUUAGAAAUUUUUGGGGAUUUUUUCGGAGACCGUAUGGACGAGUUCACGGGGAUAAAAAUGGGGCUCCGGGAAAGCCUGUUUAGGCUACCCAUUUAAGCGAGGAAUUGUUUAUUUUAUAAUUCCUUUUUCAUUUUUCUUAUUUCUUUUCCUUUAUUUUUCUUUCUUCUGUUUUCUUUCCUUGCCGAAAUCAUUUUUUCCCCCUGCGUGCCGCCUGCCCGAGCCCUCGCCGCGCGCCCGACUCCUCCGAGCCCUAACCGCCGGCCGCAGCGGUUUUCCUCCCUCCCUCGUGCUUAAGCGGAGAAGUCAAUGCCUCCUCUGCCCGAUUUCUUCUGUUGAUCCCCCAUUUCUUCCUCUAUUCCGACCGAGUAGAGCCGCUCCUUCUCUGCCCUGGUGCCGGCGCCACCGCCGACCACCCUGUGCCCUAGCACCGAUCUCCUGCAGUGCCCUCCCUUCCUCUGCCCUCGUCACCUCCUCACCACCGAGAUCCCUGAAUCACCGCCGAGCCCUAGCUUUCGAGCCGCACAUCGCCAUCUCAGCCCUAGUUCUCCGGCCGACUCCUCUGUGUGCUGCUCACCAUCGCUGUUUCCUCCUCUGUGCCAGCCACUAGCACCGACGUCUCUGGACCUAGCACUGUCGCCGACCACAGUGAUUUCGGCCGUGAGCAGAAGAUAGACUUGCAGUGGGCUUGUUUUAGUUCUAGCAGCGAGACAACCCUUUUUCGGCUGUGAAUUGAGGUCAGUGGUUAAAUCUAGUACCAGCCACAGUUUUGGCAACAGGUGCAUCCUCGACAAAUUAAUGA